UCGAGUGGCGAACGGGUGAGUAACACGUGGGUGAUCUGCCCUGCACUUUGGGAUAAGCCUGGGAAACUGGGUCUAAUACCGAAUAUUUCCUGCUGGUUGCAUGACUGGUGGGGGAAAGCUUUUGCGGUGUGGGAUGGGCCCGCGGCCUAUCAGCUUGUUGGUGAGGUUAUGGCUUACCAAGGCGACGACGGGUAGCCGGCCUGAGAGGGUGACCGGCCACACUGGGACUGAGAUACGGCCCAGACUCCUACGGGAGGCAGCAGUGGGGAAUAUUGCACAAUGGGCGCAAGCCUGAUGCAGCGACGCCGCGUGAGGGAUGACGGCCUUCGGGUUGUAAACCUCUUUCAGUAGGGACGAAGCGAAAGUGACGGUACCUGCAGAAGAAGGACCGGCCAACUACGUGCCAGCAGCCGCGGUAAUACGUAGGGUCCGAGCGUUGUCCGGAAUUACUGGGCGUAAAGAGCUCGUAGGUGGUUUGUCGCGUUGUUCGUGAAAACUCACAGCUUAACUGUGGGCGUGCGGGCGAUACGGGCAGACUGGAGUACUGCAGGGGAGACUGGAAUUCCUGGUGUAGCGGUGGAAUGCGCAGAUAUCAGGAGGAACACCGGUGGCGAAGGCGGGUCUCUGGGCAGUAACUGACGCUGAGGAGCGAAAGCGUGGGGAGCGAACAGGAUUAGAUACCCUGGUAGUCCACGCCGUAAACGGUGGGUACUAGGUGUGGGUUUCCUUCCUUGGGAUCCGUGCCGUAGCUAACGCAUUAAGUACCCCGCCUGGGGAGUACGGGCCGCAAGGCUAAAACUCAAAGAAAUUGACGGGGGCCCGCACAAGCGGCGGAGCAUGUGGAUUAAUUCGAUGCAACGCGAAGAACCUUACCUGGGUUUGACAUGCACAGGACGCCGGCAGAGAUGUCGGUUCCCUUGUGGCCUGUGUGCAGGUGGUGCAUGGCUGUCGUCAGCUCGUGUCGUGAGAUGUUGGGUUAAGUCCCGCAACGAGCGCAACCCUUGUCUCAUGUUGCCAGCACGUAAUGGUGGGGACUCGUGAGAGACUGCCGGGGUCAACUCGGAGGAAGGUGGGGAUGACGUCAAGUCAUCAUGCCCGUUAUGUCCAGGGCUUCACACAUGCUACAAUGGCCGGUACAAAGGGCUGCGAUGCCGUGAGGUGGAGCGAAUCCUUUCAAAGCCGGUCUCAGUUCGGAUCGGGGUCUGCAACUCGACCCCGUGAAGUCGGAGUCGCUAGUAAUCGCAGAUCAGCAACGCUGCGGUGAAUACGUUCCCGGGCCUUGUACACACCGCCCGUCACGUCAUGAAAGUCGGUAACACCCGAAGCCGGUGGCCUAACCCCUUGUGGGAGGGAGCCGUCGAAGGUGGGAUCGGCGAUUGGGACGAAGUCGUAACAAGGUAGCCGUACCGGAAGGUGCGGCUGGAUCACCUCCUUU
rnacentral:rRNA from 1 species